rnacentral:misc_RNA from 1 species
AAAGUAUAUGGUUAUUCCUUCUGGAAUUAGCAUUUCAAACCCACUCUGCGUACUUUACCUGUUGCUUCCACAGAGCAUGGCCUUGUGCCAUACGGUGGUGCCCAUUCAGGGCGUUGCCGGUCGUCUCUGUGAAAGGUCUACAUCAAACUAGUUUAUUAAUCGCCUUCUGUCUGAAUGAAAAUUUAUAAGUUUUA